rnacentral:rRNA from 1 species
UACGUAGGGUGCAAGCGUUGUCCGGAAUUAUUGGGCGUAAAGAGCUCGUAGGCGGUCUGUCGCGUCUGCUGUGAAAACUCAGGGCUCAACCCUGAGCCUGCAGUCGAUACGGGCAGACUAGAGUUCGGUAGGGGAGACUGGAAUUCCUGGUGUAGCGGUGAAAUGCGCAGAUAUCAGGAGGAACACCGGUGGCGAAGGCGGGUCUCUGGGCCGAAACUGACGCCGAGGAGCGAAAGCGUGGGGAGCGAACAGG